AAGGGCGCACGGUGGAUGCCUUGACACUAGGAGUCGAUGAAGGACGGGACUAACGCCGAUAUGCUUCGGGGAGCUGUAAGUAAGCUUUGAUCCGAAGAUUUCCGAAUGGGGAAACCCACUAUACGUAAUGGUAUGGUAUCCUUACCUGAAUACAUAGGGUAUGGAAGACAGACCCAGGGAACUGAAACAUCUAAGUACCUGGAGGAAGAGAAAGCAAAUGCGAUUUCCUGAGUAGCGGCGAGCGAAACGGAACAUAGCCCAAACCAAGAGGCUUGCCUCUUGGGGUUGUAGGACAUUCUAUACGGAGUUACAAAGGAACGAGGUAGACGAAGCGACCUGGAAAGGUCCGUCGUAGAGGGUAACAACCCCGUAGUCGAAACUUCGUUCUCUCUUGAAUGUAUCCUGAGUACGGCGGAACACGUGAAAUUCCGUCGGAAUCUGGGAGGACCAUCUCCCAAGGCUAAAUACUCCCUAGUGAUCGAUAGUGAACCAGUACCGUGAGGGAAAGGUGAAAAGCACCCCGGAAGGGGAGUGAAAGAGAUCCUGAAACCGUGUGCCUACAAAUAGUCAGAGCCCGUUAAUGGGUGAUGGCGU
rnacentral:rRNA from 1 species